UCCGGGCUGCGGGUGAAGAACCUUCCCUGGAAAAGCCGAGAGCCGGCAGACGUUCCCCCGGCCCUGGCCAUCUGGCCCCUCAGCGCCCGCUGUUGUCUCUAGAUGUUGGAGAUAUGAGGAGGAAGCAGCAAAGGAGACUGAGAAGUCAUCAGUGAAGUACAAGGAAAACCAGGAGAAUGUGGUGUCCUGGAAGCCAAGAAAUGUAUCAAAGAGGAGGGAGUCAUCAACUGUGCAAAUCCUGCCCAUAGAUCAAACACACCCUCUGCUCCCGUAAUACACUGUGGAGUAUAAAUUAUGUUGAACAAAC